CUUCCGUCUUCAUGAAAUGUAAACAAACAAACAAACAAAAAAAAAAAACUCGCAAAUUUGUUUUGGAUGCCGUCCCCUGUAUUCCACCUUCUGCUUUUGGAGCGGUCUCCGGUCUGCUUGGCGUUCAUUCGGAUUGGGUCCGAGUUUACCUCAACCGAACCGAGAAAUGCGUUUUUAGGCUGACCAGAGUUUGCUGUUUUUGCUCUCUGCUGCCCUUUAACAACUCUGGCAGCGGGCUGAAAACUGCUAAACAUGGAUCUGUUGCUCCUAACCAGAAUAUUCGCAAUUUCUUUUUGUGUUACUGUUAACCUGCAGGAGGGGGCAGCAGUCAGGAAAUUAGGACAUCAGCAGCACAAAGCGUGGACUCUGACCUUUUAACAAGCACAAGACCUGCCGUCCGCAACCUUUCCCUCUGCCAUCUACAGCCUGCUCUGGUCCCAGAUCUGCGCACACCUGUAAGACGCCGCCACUGUUCCACCAUCGACUCCAUGACACCUGAGCGCCCGCCGUUUCUGAGCCGCACACAUUCCUCCUUCAGCGGUGAUGUAACCAUCAGAUAAGGUCAGCACGCAGCAGCUCGGGAGGUCAUAGAUAAUAUGUGACUAAGUGCUGCAAUCACCCAACUGAAAGGCACUUUGCAAAUGAGUCAGCAUAAAUUUACGGACAGAUACGUGGGCGUGCGCCUGAACGCAUCACUCUCAGCCUCUCAGUGGGCUUUUAUAAAUUGAGAUCUGAUCUGAAAGUUAAGUAUUGCUCUCGGGGUUCCCACAAAUGUUCCAGUAAAAAUUUCCACUCCUUCCCAGA